GCCGGCAUAGCUCAGCAGGCAGAGCAACGGUCUUGUAAACCGUAGGUCAGGGGUUCGAAUCCCCUUGCCGGCU
rnacentral:tRNA from 1 species